rnacentral:rRNA from 1 species
CUAUGGCUGUCGUCAGCUGUGUGUAUAUGGCUGUCGUCAGCUAUGGUUCGUCAGCUAUGGCUGUCGUCAGCUCGUGUUGUGAGAUGUUGGGUUAGGUCCCGCAACGAGCGCAACCCUUGUCCUUAUUUGCUUCCUCGUAUGAGGUGCUCUAUAAGGAGACUGCCGGCGACAAGCCGGAGGAAGGAGGGGACGACGUCAGGUCAGUAUGCCCUUUAUGCCCUGGGCUACACAGGCGCUACAGUGGCAAGGACAAUGAGUAGCAAGAGUGCAAGCUCAAGCUAAUCUCACAAACCUUGUCGUGGCGCGAAUUGAAGGUUGAAACUCACCUUCAUGAAGCCGGAAUCGGUAGUAAUGGCGUAUCAGCUAUGUCGCCGUGAAUACGUUCCCGGGCCUUGUACACACCGCCCGUGGGGCGGGGGCGGCGGGCCGGGCGCGGGGCGCGGCGGGCG